UACAGGAGGGUGCAGAGUGUCACGGAAUUACUGGGCGUAAAGCGUGCGUAGACGGUUAUUUAAGUCAGGUGUGAAAGCCCCGGGCUCAACCUGGGAAUUGCAUUUGAGACUGAAUAGCUAGGGUGCGGAAGAGGGAAGCGGAAUUUCCGGUGUAGCGGUGAAAUGCGUAGAUAUCGGAAGGAACACCAGUGGCGAAAGCGGCUUCCUGGUCCAGCACCGACGUCAGGCACGAAAGCGUGGGGAGCAAACAGGAUUGAGAAA
rnacentral:rRNA from 1 species